rnacentral:sRNA from 1 species
UAACGCCGCGGACUGUCUCAACACAAUG